UCUUAGGACUUGACAGGUCACCCACAGUAAAGCUAUCAUGUCAUGAGGACACUCAAGCAGCUCUGGGAGAGACCCCCUGUGGCUAGAAGCUGUGGAUUCUCACCAACAGCCAUGCAAGAUUCCCCAGCCCCAGUCGAGCCUUCAGAUGACCACAGCCCCAGCUGAUAUCUUGACUGCAAUAUCAUGAAAAACCAUGUGUCAGAACUGCUCAGACAUGUUGCUCCCAAAUUCUGGACCUGCAGAAACCAUGAAAGACAAUAAAUGAUUAUUGCUGUUUUAGGUCACUAUGUUUUGAGCUAACUUCUUACACAGCAAUAGAUACUAAUGCAUAUUUUAACCAGUUUCCUACAUUAAAACCUUUCUGUU
rnacentral:lncRNA from 10 species